GCGCACGGGUGAGUAACGCGUGGAUUAUCUACCUAUUGGUACGGGACAACAGUUGGAAACGACUGCUAAUACCGUAUAAGCUGGUAACGGGAAAGGGGGCCUCUUCUUGAAAGCUCUCGCCGGUAGAUGAGUCCGCGUUUCAUUAGCUAGACGGUGGGGUAACGGCCUACCGUGGCAACGAUGAAUAGCAGGCCUGAGAGGGUGGCCUGCCACACUGGGACUGGAACACGGCCCAGACUCCUACGGGAGGCAGCAGUGGGGAAUAUUGCGCAAUGGACGAAAGUCUGACGCAGCGACGCCGCGUGGAGGAUGAAGGUUUUCGGAUCGUAAACUCCUGUCAAGAGGGAAGAAACCUAUUAAGAAUAAUACUCUUAGUAAUUGACGGUACCUCUAGAGGAAGCACCGGCUAAUUCAGUGCCAGCAGCCGCGGUAAUACUGAAGGUGCAAGCGUUAAUCGGAAUCACUGCGCGUAAAGCGCUCGUAGGUGGCUUUGUAAGUCAGGUGUGAAAGCCCAGGCUCAACCGUGGAAUUGCACUUGAUACUG
rnacentral:rRNA from 1 species